rnacentral:lncRNA from 1 species
GGGUGUGAAUGAAAUCUUUGUUCUUUAGUUGCUGAUAGACUUCCUUCUCCGUUCGGGUCUUUAGUCCAAGGUCUCCUAUCUUGAGAAGGACCUUGACUUGUUGAUUAGAUGAAGAUGGCGGAGCUUGUGUGGGCGUUGGGUUGACGCUCAUCUCUGACGGGUGUGAGGAGUGUCGGGAUGAACUCCUUGUACCUAUGUUCUUGAGGGCCUU